rnacentral:rRNA from 1 species
UACGUAGGCAGCGAGCGUUGUUCGGAAUUACUGGGCGUAAAGAGUGUGUAGGCGGCGCUCUAAGUUCGGUGUGAAAUCUCUCGGCUUAACUGGGAGGGUGCGCCGGAAACUGGAGUGCUCGAACGUGGGAGAGGAAAGCGGAAUUCCUGGUGUAGCGGUGAAAUGCGUAGAUAUCAGGAGGAACACCUGCGGUGUAGACGGCUUUCUGGACCAUUGUUGACGCUGAGACACGAAAGCGUGGGGAGCAAACAGG